rnacentral:tRNA from 1 species
GCAGAGCCUCGCGCUGAUCGAGAACUGGCCGGUCCCCUCCGCCGCGGCGGGCGUCGUACGCGCCGACGGCACGGU